UUGACUUUCUGCCCUGAUGGCGUGUCCGUGUUCGUGCCACCGGGUGAGAAAGACGAC
rnacentral:pre_miRNA from 1 species